GAUGAACGCUGGCGGCGUGCCUAAUACAUGCAAGUCGAGCGAACGGACGAGAAGCUUGCUUCUCUGAUGUUAGCGGCGGACGGGUGAGUAACACGUGGAUAACCUACCUAUAAGACUGGGAUAACUUCGGGAAACCGGAGCUAAUACCGGAUGAUAUUUUGAACCGCAUGGUUCAAAAGUGAAAGACGGUCUUGCUGUCACUUAUAGAUGGAUCCGCGCUGCAUUAGCUAGUUGGUAAGGUAACGGCUUACCAAGGCAACGAUGCAUAGCCGACCUGAGAGGGUGAUCGGCCACACUGGAACUGAGACACGGUCCAGACUCCUACGGGAGGCAGCAGUAGGGAAUCCUCCGCAAUGGGCGAAGGCCUGACGGAGCAACGCCGCGUGAGUGAUGAAGGUCUUCGGAUCGUAAAACUCUGUUAUUAGGGAAGAACAUAUGUGUAAGUAACUGUGCACAUCUUGACGGUACCUAAUCAGAAAGCCACGGCUAACUACGUG
rnacentral:rRNA from 1 species